AAGAGACAGCAGUCGCCACGGGAAUACGAAGGGGGCUAGCGUUGUUCGGAAUUACUGGGCGUAAAGCGCACGUAGGCGGCUAUGUAAGUUAGAGGUGAAAGCCUGGAGCUCAACUCCAGAAUUGCCUUUGAGACUGCAUCGCUUGAAUCCAGGAGAGGUGAGUGGGAUUCCGAGUGUAGAGGUGAAAUUCGUAGAUAUUCGGAAGAACACCAGCGGCGAAGGCGGCUCACUGGACUGGUAUUGACGCUGAGGUGCGAAAGCGUGGGGAGCAAACAGGAUUAGAUACCCGCGUAGUCCCUGUCUCUUAUAC
rnacentral:rRNA from 1 species